rnacentral:rRNA from 1 species
GAUGAACGCUGGCGGCGUGCCUAAUACAUGCAAGUCGAGCGAACAGAUGAGAAGCUUGCUUCUCUGAUGUUAGCGGCGGACGGGUGAGUAACACGUGGGUAACCUACCUAUAAGACUGGGAUAACUCCGGGAAACCGGGGCUAAUACCGGAUAAUAUUUUGAACCGCAUGGUUCAAUAGUGAAAGACGGUUUCGGCUGUCACUUAUAGAUGGACCCGCGCCGUAUUAGCUAGUUGGUAAGGUAACGGCUUACCAAGGCGACGAUACGUAGCCGACCUGAGAGGGUGAUCGGCCACACUGGAACUGAGACACGGUCCAGACUCCUACGGGAGGCAGCAGUAGGGAAUCGCAAUGGGCGAAAGCCUGACGGAGCAACGCCGCGUGAGUGAUGAAGGUCUUCGGAUCGUAAAACUCUGUUGUUAGGGAAGAACAAAUUUGUUAGUAACUGAACAAGUCUUGACGGUACCUAACCAGAAAGCCACGGCUAACUACGUGCCAGCAGCCGCGGUAAUACGUAGGUGGCAAGCGUUAUCCGGAAUUAUUGGGCGUAAAGCGCGCGUAGGCGGUUUCUUAAGUCUGAUGUGAAAGCCCACGGCUCAACCGUGGAGGGUCAUUGGAAACUGGGAAACUUGAGUGCAGAAGAGGAGAGUGGAAUUCCAUGUGUAGCGGUGAAAUGCGCAGAGAUAUGGAGGAACACCAGUGGCGAAGGCGGCUCUCUGGUCUGUAACUGACGCUGAUGUGCGAAAGCGUGGGGAUCAAACAGGAUUAGAUACCCUGGUAGUCCACGCCGUAAACGAUGAGUGCUAAGUGUUAGGGGGUUUCCGCCCCUUAGUCAGCUAACGCAUUAAGCACUCCGCCUGGGGAGUACGACCGCAAGGUUGAAACUCAAAGGAAUUGACGGGGACCCGCACAAGCGGUGGAGCAUGUGGUUUAAUUCGAAGCAACGCGAAGAACCUUACCAAAUCUUGACAUCCUUUGACCGCUCUAGAGAUAGAGUCUUCCCCUUCGGGGGACAAAGUGACAGGUGGUGCAUGGUUGUCGUCAGCUCGUGUCGUGAGAUGUUGGGUUAAGUCCCGCAACGAGCGCAACCCUUAAGCUUAGUUGCCAUCAUUAAGUUGGGCACUCUAGGUUGACUGCCGGUGACAAACCGGAGGAAGGUGGGGAUGACGUCAAAUCAUCAUGCCCCUUAUGAUUUGGGCUACACACGUGCUACAAUGGAUAAUACAAAGGGCAGCGAAUCCGCGAGGCAAAUCCCAUAAAAUUAUUCUCAGUUCGGAUUGUAGUCUGCAACUCGACUACAUGAAGCUGGAAUCGCUAGUAAUCGUAGAUCAGCAUGCUACGGUGAAUACGUUCCCGGGUCUUGUACACACCGCCCGUCACACCACGAGAGUUUGUAACACCCGAAGCCGGUGGAGUAACCUUUUAGGAG